rnacentral:rRNA from 1 species
CACGCCGUAAACUAUGGAUGCUAGCUGUUAGAGGUAUCGACCCCUCUAGUAGCGAAGCUAACGCGUUAAGCAUCCCGCCUGUGGAGUACGGUCGCAAGACUAAAACAUAAAGGAAUUGACGGGGACCCGCACAAGCGGUGGAGCGUGUUGUUUAAUUCGAUGGUAAACGAAGAACCUUACCCAGGUUUGACAUCCUGCGAAUUUUGCCGAAAGGCGAGAGUGCUUUAUUGAGCGCAGUGACAGGUGU